GUUCCCUAAAACGAUUAGGCUAGUUUUCGCCUGGGAGUCUUACAUUGCUUUCGCAAACUUGGAAUAAUGUGGACCUGGAGCUUUGUGGUGAAAACAGGCCGUCAACGUUGACCCUGCAGCAGUACGGCCCGCUGUCUGUCCUCCGCACAUUCAGGAUGUCCAGGUCCAUCUGUCCAUCCAGGAUGUCCCCUGUCAGCUGGUACCUGCCGUCCACCUGAAGGGUCAAGGAUGAAGAUGAAGGUGAUGAAGGCCAGAGGUGACGGACAUGACGCUGCAGCCAUCCUGUCAAACAGAGA